CCAAGGAGAGAGGUUUGUGUUCCUAGCGGGCUACAGGAAGGUAGCACCUUGGACAAAGCAGUUGCUGGCAGGAACAAUGGAACACAAGAGGGAGCACUUGGCUGGCUGCAGGUCCUGAGAAGAGGGCAAAGAAAGUGCUGGGACCAUGGGGAAAUGCCCCAGGGAAUUUAAGGAGCACUGGUGGAGAAGUUAAAGUAGAGGCAGCUAGAGGCUUCUACCUACAGGACCCCUAGACUGAGACCCAGAGUAGUGGGUAGGCCUGGGUCCCCCUUACUCACCACGGGGAAGUGGCCGGACUAUAGAACUGGGAGAUACUUCUCCCCCAGAAGUGGGGAAAAUAUGGAUGAUGGCACGGCCGGAGGGCUGAGUCAUGAAGGACGCUGCAGUUCCUGGACUGAGGGAGGUCUGCAAGCAGAGACAAAGGUGAGAAAGAGGACGUGCCAGCUAAGAGAGCUAAUCCUCGAGACUACUGGCAGGAGGUGCUGCUCUAAAUCAACUUGCCACCAAAAUCACAUAUCCUGCUAUGGCACAGACACUUAUGAAGACACAGAUCCAAGAGAGGCUGUAUUUCAAAAAUCACAUCAGGAGAGGUGAACAAUGAGUUUCUGCAAAGUACAAAACAUCUCCUGGGAAAAAUCCCAUGGAGAAGUGCAAAAAUCAGAUGGAGAACUGAGGCAAAGAGAAGCUAAGCCCAAGAUCCACAAAGGUACAUAGGUGCCUAAACGACAGGUGUAAGUGCCUAAAUCCCAUUUUUAGGCACCACAGCGAUCCACCCAAUUCCUGCCCAGAUGCCACCUUGGUCAGCACCUAAGAUUUUACAGUCAGUUUCCUAGGUGUCUGUGUUCCUGCCUCUGGGCGUGUUCCCUGCUAGCUCUCUCUAGGCAUCUGGGUGCAUAAUCUCCCACUUGAGCUUUCGAGCGAACCAUGAGCUGGGGGAAGACAGGCACUCACCCACCUAAUUCACAUGCAGGACCUCAGCCAGUAGGUGUGCUCAGAAGCCGCCGAACACCACACAAAGUAGCCGGGGCAGGGAGGAUCUCCCUUAUAAGCUGUAGCUCAGUGGGUAGGGCAUUCACACAGGAGGUGGGAGACCCUCCGUUUAAGUCCCCCGCUCUGCCCAAGGGAUUUGAACAGGGAUCUGCCACUUCAAGUGAAUGCCCUAACCACUGGGCUAUAGGAUAUU